AAAUGCCAUAAGUAGUGUGAAUUGCAGAAUUUAGCGAAUCAUCGAAUCUUUGAACGCACAUUGCGCCCCUUGGUAUUCCAUGGGGCAUGCCUGUUCGAGCGUCAUUUCAACCCUCAAGCACUGCUUGGUGUUGGGCGUUUGUCCCGCCUACGCGCGUGGACUCGCCUCAAAGUCAUUGGCAGCUGUUCCCCUUCGGCUCGUAAGCGCAGCACAGUCGGCGCCCGGAGCUCUGGUGGGAUGGCGUCCAGCAAGCUAUAUUUUCAGGCUUGACCUCGGAUCAGGUAGGGAUACCCGCUGAACUUAAGC
rnacentral:misc_RNA from 1 species